UCAUGUGAGUUAUCCCACCAAGUCUCUGUUAUUCCAGUCACCUCAUAAUUCCUUGACUGUGCCAGGACUUCCAGUUCUCCCUGCUUGUUUCCCAGGCUUCUUGCAUUUGUGUAUAGGCACUUGAGAACUCACUGAUCGUCCCUUCCCGCGCGCUCCUUCUCGUGCUUCCUCCCGGUAUCCCACUUCCCCACUUACCUCAGGACUUUGGUCUCCUUCCCCCGGUGAACUUAGUUUUACAGUUUUUACAGUUCUCUCCCUAAAAUAACUUCACUCAGUUAAGUGCUGAAUGUCACAAAUAUCAAGUAUGAGACCGCAUUAAAGGGUAGAUUUUUUUUUUUUUCAAAAGGCCUCAGUUCUCAUAAUCAAAAUAGAUUUUCAGUAUAACUUAUGCCCUACAUAGUAAGUUCUUGAAAACCUGUGUGUAAGUGUCAGUAGGAGCUUGCAGAGGCUGAGCAGUUUUGAAAAUUUGGCCUUUAUAUAGGUAUCCAAAGUGAGCUGAGCUCUUUAGAAAAAUCUAGCUCUCACCAAAAAUUAUUUUCACUGAUGUGAAGAAUUUAAUUUCUUCAAGGUAGUGCUGGCUAGCUUUGUAGUGAAACUUCUAUCUAAGGUAUGGGGCCCAAUCAGUAUAGUAAUUAAGUGCUAGCCAUGGAUUUGCUCAGCAGUCAAGCAAGUCUGCCUGGCAACUGUGACAUUCCUGUAUAAUAUAUUCAAGUUGCAGUGGAGCUGUGUGGCAUGACAUCAGUUUGUCCAAAGGAAAAAAAAAACUUGGAUAAACUUACCUGUGGAUUUGCUUUUUAGUUUUGUAAUCUGAGAAACUCUGCUAUAUUAAUUAUAUAGCACCAUAAAUCAUGCAUUGUGUCUAAUAACUGAAACAAAAAUUGUCUGAUUUAUGCAAAUAGCUAAUAACUUGCAACUUACAAAGCUGACUGAUUUUAAAAACCAUUUGCUAGUCACUUAAAAUAUUUUACUGCAUUGGAAAAAUGAACUUGCAAAUGGCAAAGUUCAUGGCCUACCCAUGGCUGCAUUGCUGUUCAUAUAUCGAAUACUACUGAGGGAUAAAAAAGAAUGUACUGCUCUGCUCCUUCUGAGAGGCUAAAUAAAUUAUCUUGGCAGAGUCUUUUCCCUAUACAAGCAUGCCAAGACCGUGUUGGAGUUGGUAACAUUUAAUACGACUCUUUGCAAAGUCAUCAAGCGCUUCAAAACUUCCUCAUGUUCCAAGUCCAUGCAUGCAGGGAAGAGGCCCUGCUGCAAAGAUCACUCUUAGGGCUUGUCUACAUUACCUGCUGGAUCAACGGGCAGCAAUUGAUCCAGUGGGGGUGGAUUUAUCGCGUCUAGUCUGGAUGCAAUAAAUCAACCCCCGAGAGCUCUCCUGUCGACUCCGGUACUCCACCAGGGUGAGAGGCGCAGGCAGAGUCAACUGGAGAGCAUCAGCCAUUGACCUACCGCAGUGAAGACACCACAUAGAUCUAAAUACGUCAGCUUCAGCUAUGUUAUUCAUGUAGCUGAAGUUGCAUAACUUAGAUCAAUUUCCCUCCCACAGUGUAAACGAGCCUUUACUGAGCCCUAGUGUUUUCUGUUCUCGGGAAGUUCACUGAUUAAGUGCAACUCGCCCUGCCCCUCCCUCCAAGAGGCAAAAUGGUGUAGUGGUAUGUGUGGCAACAGUGGUUUGUCUGUACUGGGAAAUAUCUGUGUAAUGUAAUAUAACAGCCUCUCACUGUAAACAAGGACUGUUGUGUUUAAAAUUGUGUCAUGGCUAACACUUGUUUGUUAAAUCUUUACCAUGUUAACAUGUAACAAUUAAGUUUUACAAUAUAGAGAAGCCCAAGUAUAAAGGAAGGGGAAGAAGGUGGAGAACUAUGAGUUAGGAUUAGUUUGCUAGGGAUUGAAUAGGCAAACUGGUCAAGACACGAGGUAAGGUUAAUAGGAUAUUGUGAAGUUACUUGUGUGAGUAGAACUCUGCAAGAAUUUGGAUCGCUGUUGGAAGAUGGGCUGCAAAUCAGAACAACUCUUUUGGGGAGUGGGGGGAAAUUAGAUAUUUAAUUGAAGUCCUGGUGUUUGGGAGGGAAGCAACGGCUGGUUGAAGUGGAAAGCAAAGCAGAUGUAAAUGUAGGCAGAAAUUUAGGAAGCAUGAAAAUGGAGUAGCAUUGUACUGGUUAUGUCAUUGAGAGCCAUAUGUGGAGGGAAUCUUAUGCACAGAUGUUUUCCUCCCCUCUGAUGUGUCAUUUCAUUUACUUAAAUGAUGUGAAGGCCAGUCAAAAUGAUCUGUGUGGGGAGGAAAUAGAGGGUCUGGGGCAUACAAAUUAUUGCCUCCCCUCCUAUUUCUCUGGAGUUCAGGGCUGAAAAAUAAUAGCGAGGGCUUGUAUUAUUUUGCUACAUUCCUGCUUAAGAGGGAUCCUGAGGGAAGUCAUAACCACAGUAGUUCCUGACAGGGUGGCUCCAUUUGAACCAUGCUGUCAAGGAACAGGGCUGGAGCCACAGCAGGCUGCAGAACCAUGUGGAAGGUUUUGGUCUCCUGGUGAUCCCUUGGGAGCCCUGGUGUUCGGUGGUGGUGCACUUGCAGUUUGUUCAGUGCAGUGGGGUGGGAAACUCCACUCCCUCCUCCUUGAGAAAACAAAUAGGAAGACAGCCAUUUUAGUUUCUCUUCCUCUCCUUUCUUCACCCCUACCCAAUCUGAGAAUCAGGCUCGCUGUUAUGAUAGUGACAUAAUAACGCAUCAUUAUGUCUAAAUACAAAACAGCUCUUCACCCCUUCUCAGAUAUCAUACUGGUAUUUUGAAUUUCUAUAGCACCUCCUAUUCAAGAAUAUCAAACCACUUCAUAGACAUUCAUAAUGAAUUUAUCUACACAACUUGCUGUGAUGUAGGUGAUAUUAUCCCCAAUUUACAGAUGAGGAAAUUGGGGAAUAAACAUAAGAAACUGUGGUAAGGCUGCUAACGGUUUCCUGACUCCAAUGCGUGUGCCUUAAGCACAUGAGCAUCCUUCCUCCUUUGUGACUAGAUUGUGUCUAGUCCUUGUGCACGUACACCCCUCCAUCUGUGUGCACCCACUGUAUUUCAGUCCUGUGUUCAGAGGAGUGAAGAAACUGUUCUCUUAGUGCCCCUAAAGCCAUGGAGAAUGGGGAGGGCAUGCCCCCCUUCCCCUACCACAUACAGAGGUGCAGAGAAAGGGGAUAGUGCAGCUUGCACGCUCCAUGUGCUCUAUUGAGCUCCAGGGGAUUGUGCCUCUGACACAGUCCCUUCUGGAGUUCCCAUGGGGUAUGGCUGGUCUGCACCAUCAUCAUCAAUGCAAGUUUAUAUCUUGGGCACAAUCUGGCCCUUUAUCAUCUUUAUGGAUAUAACUAUACUAGGAGCCUAGCUACCAUAGUGGUAUAGAUAAAUGUACAUUCUUUUCUAUUCACAUGAGCAUAAUCACAUAUUAGCACACAAGACGUGUGAAGUACCAGCUGGCUGUACAGAUGCAACCAUUCAAUAUGUAUGAGGGAAAACUAAUUGCAAAAUAGAAAUAAAAAAUUGGUUUGAUUUACUUUUUCCCCAGAAGUCUUUUUUUUUUUUUUUUUUUUUUUAACAUUUAAUCCUAUUAGUAACAUCCAAGGUUAAAAGGUGAUUUAAAUUUCGUUUUAUUUGGAUAUUUUUCAUUCUAAAAUGUCCUGGACUGCAUUCUCUUUUCACCUGCUCUGGUGUAAAUAAGGAAUAAUUUCACUGAAGUAAACCGAUUUACACUGGUGUGAGACGAGUAUGUAUAUGUGAGAGGAGAACCAGGCCUCCUAUUUGUCAGUCAAAGCAGUUCCCUAAUUCUGUAGUGAGUAAUAGAGGCUGCCUAUUCAGUUUGACUUCAAAUCUGAGCAGAAACAUCUGUAUCACAUUUUGUCAGUCUUCAUUACUCAAACUAUAUUUAAAUCAUUCGCUUUUACAUUUGAAAAGUGAUUCUUUUUUAAGUGACAUCUUUAUGCUAAAUUUCCUUUUAUAUUUUUUCUCGUAGUCCACAAUGUUUAUAGUGAAAAUUGCAUAACCACUCCUAUAUAGCAUUUCAGGGGAAAAUACUGCAUACUUUUUUAAAAAAGUGCCUGUUUUAUCUAUAUAAAAACUUAUUAAUUACAAUACGUUUUACAUAAUAUUUGCUACAUGUUCUAGUAAUAACCUGAAAAACUUGAAAUAAUCUGUAGCCCCAACACCAUCUUGCCCGUAGAGAGCUGGGGCAUAGUUUGAUUUAUAUGGGGGGGGCGGGGUUUGCUGCUAAGAGAUUGACUUGUUUUCUGAGGCAGGAACUAUUUGUCAAGUUUGUCUUUAUAGCUAUCAUGCUGACAUUUUCUGUGGAUAAGUCAUAUAGCAAGUGCAAUCACAGCACGAUUGUAUUAUUUGAAACAAAAAUUAAAGAGAAGCUAAGAAUGUACCAGCGCCACUAAAAUUACAAUGUUUUACUUCUGAUUUCAGUCAUGCACACAUGGAAACCUCUAAAACAAAUCCCCAUUAAAAGUUGACCAAGUCUCUCACUUUUUUUUUUUUUUUUAAAUUGACAGUUUUCAGGGAUUGGUUCGGAUUCUAGUCACAGGCAUUGCUCAUAGUACAAAUUAUAAUGAAACUGUAUACUCCAGCUUCACCUGAAUAUAAGCUUGUUUAUAACAACUGCAUGUGUAAUAACCAUUUGCUAUCUUCACAUCAACUGCUCCUUUCUUCUUACUGACAGUAGUCACAUGCCCUUCACAUUUGCAGACUUUAGUGCGUGCCCAUUUUAUAAAGCUAGAGUAGUAGUUCCUUCAGAAGGUGCAUUGGGAUACGCAAUUAAUUUAUAAUUGGAAAACAGUUACUAGAAGUAAAAAAUUAAUAAAAUUAGGUCUAGUCCAUGUGUGAACAUCAGAGUUCGAAAGCAGAAUUUAACAUUAGAUUGAAAUUUAGACUUAAAAGUAGUAAUAUGAUAGUUUUGAUCUGUGGGGGCCAUACAGAAUGUUUUGCUUUAUAAAGUGAUGGGGGACACAAGUGGUUCUAAUAAUUUCUGCUACAAAACAUGUCAUUUAACAUCACAUGCUCCUCAUAUAGUGUACUAACUAAUACAAGUUAGUUCAUAUGCAUGCCAAAGCCAUAAGAAAAAUCUCUAAAAGAAGGCUGCUAUGUGAGCUAUUUCUUUCACACUGCACUUUAGUCAUUGUUCAGGUAUCACAGGAGUACAUAACCACUUGUAUUGAUUUAACGAUCUCUGUGAUAAUCUGAAUUGCGGAGGUGUGUGCAGAACAGGCCUUGGCAGUGCAGGUGUGUGCAGAGUUGGCCUUGAAAUUACUACAGUAAAAGGCAGACAGACACUUGCUUUAGCAUGCAGAAGUGCCUCUAAGGGUGGAGCUGAAGAUGCCAAGUAUUGGUCUUGUCCUAGCCUGUUCCUUCUAGAAAGCUGUUUCCACAAGUACACAGAAAGUGUGCUAGUGCCAUCUUCAUUCUCAUUAGAUGUUGUGUCUUAUUUGUACUCCAUUAUCUUUAUAGCUUUUUAUAUUAGUCCUUGUGUAUUGUCUGUAUGUAAGUGAACUUCUGUACACUUAACCUAUAAAUUUAGUAUAAUUUUUUUAUAAGGUUUAACAAGUGAGUUUUUAAAUUAGGCUCCCCAACCUAUAUUUUGGCACCUGAAGGAAGGGCUACGUUUUCAAAAGUGUUGAGCAUCCAACACUGGAGUUGUGUGUUUUUUGAAAACUAGGCUACUAAUUUUAGUGCUUAAAAGGGGACUUAGAGCUAGAUUCAGGGACUUAGGUGCCUCACUACCAUUUUAGGCACUUAAGUUCAAUAUCUAGGCACCACUGAGAUCCUCAAAACCUCCACUUAUACUCCCUAACUCUAUAGACACCUAAGUUUCUGCUGGUUGACAUGCACAGAAUCACCCAAGUUCUUGCUCACGUCUAUUCCAUGUUACAUGUUCACACACUGUGUGCACCAUUGCCGGAGUUUUUUUCUUCCCAGUGUAUCUGUAGGACCAGCUCUAUUGCCCCUGGAGGCCCAUUCUCAUGUGCCAAUAUAAGGAGCGUCACCAGCCCUUCAACCUCUCAGUUCCUUCUUACCACCCAUGACGGUUGCUGGAACAGUCUUCUCUCUUGCUUAGGCAUAGCAGGCUAGCUCUGGUCUCCAUCCUCUCAGCGCCAUUCACUGGAUCCCAGGCAUUGAUCUCCAGAGAUCUGUCUCUGUUCUCUGGCUGUGUGGCACUACUCAUGCAAGCCCAUCACCACUCACACGAGUCUCCACAGUCAUUCCCCGAUACCAAAUCCUCACUCCCCGGAGUCCCAUUCUAGCUGGCUAGAAGGCGCAACAGUACUGCCAUGGCCCUCCUCAUGGAAUCCUCAUCAGACUUCAAGAGAGAGUCAGCGCCGCCACGGAAGAGGCAUCAUUGUCUAGCUUACCAGAUAGACAUCGGUGCUGGUCCAUCCAUGGGCCCCAGGACAAUGGCCAGUGCAUUGUCAGUACUGGAAUCAGUGGGGGUUCCUGCUGGCACCUGGACAGUUUUUUGGCAACCCCUGUUGGUGUUGACCUCUGAGUGAACGUCUGCAGCCCUAUCUCAGCCAGUAUUGGAACCUGCAUUGGACUCUGACUGCGGCAUUGAGAACCCCGUGGUACUCCCAAUUGAAGGGGCCCUGGAAGAGACUGUGGAUCCAGCUCCUCCCCCACCAGUUGCUUCUUCCUCAUCUUCCCCAAAUGAGGUGCUCAUGUGGCCCAUUAACCCUGUGGCCCACGACAAUCUUCAAGCCCACCAGGAGCACCUCAAGAGCAUCGCUUCAAUCUGGGCCUCGAGGUGGAGGAUCUCAAAGAGCUUACGGACCCCAUCUUUGACAUUUUGGUGUGGCUCCUGUGAAGGUGGCUCUGCGCAUGCACCAAGGGGUGUUCAAAAUGGUGAAGGUGCUAUGGCAGACCCAUGCAUCUCUGUCCCCAACUUCUAAAAGGGCAGAAAAGAAGUAUUAUAUGCCCGCAAGGGGGUAUGGAUACAUGUACUCCUACCCACCCCCGGGUUCACUAGUGGUCACCACAGCCAACGAGCGCGAUAGGCAAGACCAGGCCAGUGCAACCCAAAAAAACAAGGCAAAAUGCUUGGACUCUUUAAUGGUAGAAAGGUUUAUUCUACUGUGAGCCUCCCAGUUACAUAUUGCAAACCAGCAUGUGUUGCUGGGGCGAUACAAUUUUGGUGUCUGGAACACCAUGGCUUGAUUUAAGGAUUCACUGUCCCAAGGUGUGCAGCAGGAAUUCUUGUCCAUUGUGGAGGAAGGAAAGACGGUGGCAAGAACAUCCGUCCAAGCUGCCUUGGACAUGGCAGACUCAGCUGCCAGGUCGAUGGCAUCAGCGAUCACAAUGAGGGGAGGCUCAUGGCUGCAGUUGUCAGGGCUGUCACAGGUGGUGCAGGACCUUCUGUUUGAAGGGUCCUCGCUAUUUUCGGACCAGACGGACACAAAGCUGUGUAGUCUUUAAAAGACUCGAGAGCCACAUUGCAGUCCUUGGGCCUGUAUACACAUCACCCAGCAACCCAGGGAUGACAUCAGCUUUGGGAGAGCUGUAUUUCAAUCAACAUGCCUGUGAACUCCUAGCUCACCGCCAAGGGCACUGCUUGUGAGUUACCUGACAUGGAAUAGACAUGAGAAAGCACUUCGAAGAAGAAAAGACAGUAACUAACCUACCGUAACUAUUGUUCUUCAAGAUGUGUUGCUCAUGUUCAUUCCAUGACCUGCCAUCCUUCCCUGCUGUCAGAGUUGAUGGCAAGAAGGAACUGAGAGUGCAGAGCCAGCAGUGCCCCUUAUACUGGUGCAUGAGUGUGGGCCUCCAAGGGGCAAUAGAGCUGGCCCUGGAGAUACCACUGGGAGAAAAAAUCUCCAGCAAUGGUGCACGCGUCACAUGUACACCUGACAUGGAAUGGACGUGAGCAACACAUCUUGAAGAACAACAGUUACAGAAGGUUAGUAACAGUCUCUUCUGAAGCCACUGAGGUGCUCAGCACUCUGUCUCACACCUAAGCCCUGGCAGGAUUCUCAAACUAGGAACGCCCUCUCAACUUCACCUACGGGACCUGGGCGGUGGGCAGUGUCCCAGAAUAUCUGCUGAUAUGGGAGAUCUGUUUUCAAAUCAGUCACAUCUAUAAGUACUUCCUAGGUUGUGUUUUAUAGACAGGUGAGUGUACAGUAAAACCUCAAACGUAUGGCCAUUAUAAAGGAUUUGAUGAUAGUUGUCUAGUAGGCCCACCCUACUUAAGUUGCCUGAUUCUUCCUAUCAUGAAACUGUGUUCAGUUGCCUAUAACUUUGCAAAACUUUUUAACCAUUUGGGCUGAAAUUUUCCAUGCUGGAUGUCUACUUUGGGGGGGGGGGGUGUUUUAUUUCAGCCAAAAUGGUACAGCCAUUUCCAAGAAUGAGGCUAGGAAAAAAUGUUUUGUACAUGUUAAAACAUUCUUGAGACCUUUUUUCUUUGAAAUGCUCUAGUGUCCCUGUGCUUUGGAGCAUCAAUGAGAAAUUUGUCAGCCUUUGUGUCAGGUGUAGGCCUUUGGUAUCCUCAUGAUGGACAGGGAGACAGUGGGCCAGUUUGCUAGGAUGGGGAAGAACACAGAUUGGACAAGGAGCUGAGGGAAACUAGAACUAGCUGGACAAAAGGGAGUGAGAGUAGGAGGCAGUAGGUGGAGAAAAUGGUCAUGGGGUAGCAGAGACAUACCUCAUAGGGAGAUGGCAUGCAGGGGGAUAAUUGGGACUGGUUGGACAAAGAGCUGAGGGAGAUGGGGAGCACAGACAGAAAUUGCAUUAGGAAUCCAGACACAAGGUAGGCGAGGUAAUAUGUUUUAUUGGACCAGUUUCUGUUGGUGAGAGAAGCAAGCUUUUGAGCUCUUAAGAACCCUGUGUAAUUCGAAAGCUUGUCUCACCAACAGAAGUUGGUCAAGUAAAAGAUUAUCUCACCUAACUUGUCUCUUUAAUAUCCUGGGACCAACGUGGUUAUGACAAACUCCAUACAUUAGGAGCCCAGACAGAGAGACUGAGAGGCACUACAAGGAGAGAGGAGGGUACCGGGAAUGUCCAGGCAAGGACACUGGGACUAGGAUGAGAAGCCUAAGGAUUUUAGGGCCCUACCAAAGUCACAGUCCAUUUUGAUCAAUUUCAUAGCCAAAAGAUUUUAAAAUUGGUCAGUUUUACAUUUUUCAGAUGUUUACACGUCAUAACCAUUGGAGUCCACCUUCUGACAGUGGGGACUUCGGCUGGGGCACUCCUAGCAGAAGGGGGAGAUUGGACCCACUUUCACAAGCCUCCUCCAGCUGCAGGAACCUUCAGGGCUGCUGCCAGCUCCGGAGCUUCCUACAGCAGGGGGAGGCACUCUGAGGUGGUCUGAUCUCCCCCACCCCCAAGAGAUGCCAUGCAAAGGAAGGACAAGUCCUGUCCCUCCAGCCCAGUGGGGGUUUGCAGCUAGGAGCCCCCCUCCUGGAGCACUCCCAGCAGCUAGGGGGAUAUGAGAUUUCAUGGGGAAGGGCUUAUUUCAUGGUCCGUGAUACAUUUUUUUUUUCAUGGUCGUGAAAUUGGGAGGGCCCUAACUAUAGACCCCAACUGAAAAAAGGAGACAGGACUGGGUCAGGGACAGGUUGGACAGGAUGAGGCAGAAGGGAUCAAGCCUGGGGGAACUAGGAAAAGAGGCUCUGAUCACAAGAAUAUACUCCCCUCGAUAGUCUGAAAUGGAAUUCAAGAUUACCUUCUUUAUAAAGAACUUUUAAGAUCUACUCAUGAAAAGUGUUCUAUAAGAGCUGGGUAUUAUUCUUGUCUCACCAUUCUCCAGCUGCCAGCAACUAUGUCUCAUCUCCCUCUAAUGCUGGUCCACAUGGAGGAUGACCACCUCCUUCUGCUAUUGGUUACUCAGCUCAAGAGUCAGGGGUCUGUGUAGUGGAUCUUAAGUUCCAAUCCUGUUGAAGAACCAUGUAGGUGUCAAUAUAAUGCCACAUGAUGGAAUUGCUAUUUUUUAGUCUGCUUUUAAAAAAACCUAGGCUAUUACACACACCAAACUAUGUGAAAUAAAAGAACACUGAAGGCUGAAAAGUCAAGCACUCAAAAGUUAGGAAAUGCCAGAAUGAAGGUUACCUGUGAAACCUUAAUUUGUGUCCAUGUCCCUCUCCCCUACAAUUUUUAAUUGCAUGAGGACAUACUGUUUUUCCUUGAGGCCAUUACCUCAUUCAGUGCAAAGGGUGGACUUACGCUGGGGAUGAAUUUGAGUUGUGCAGUAAAGGAGGCUAUCUGUAGGACCCCUGCCUCAUUUGUUGCAGAACCUGGAAGGUAGGUAUAUAAUGAGAGAGGAUUACAGGAAUAGAAAAGAGGGUCUCGUGGUUAAGGCAGUUGAAUGCUGGUUUGGAGAACUGGAUUCUAUCCCUGACUUUCCAACAGAUUUCCUGUGCUAAGGCUGCUGAUCAGGUUCUGGGUGUCUCAAAUUGGGCACCAAAAUUAGUGGAUACUUUUGACCUUAAUCUUUCUGACCCUCAACUCCCCAUCCUGUCAGACAGGGAUAAUACUGCCUCACCUCACAGGUUUUGUGAAGAUAUGUUUAUGAUGUACUUGGAUACUGUAAUGAUGAGCUGCAUAGGAAAGGCACUGAAUAAAUUAAUAAUUCAGUCUCCUAGGAGGAUUAGAGUAGUGUGCAGUAAAUAAGAUCUAGGGCCAUACAUUGAACAAUGAGGAUAAAACAGAAUAUUGAAUAGCUGCUCAUUAAGUGAAUACCAUCCAUCUUGUACACUGAAUAAGGCAUGGGUCCUGUGAGGAAAAAUAGUAUGUGAUCAUGUAUGUACAAGGGGGCCAUGUUAAGGUUAUACAGGCAACAUUAGUUCUGGCAUUUCCUAACAUUUCUGUGCUUGACCUUGCAAUCUUAACAUAGUUUUUUUGAGUGUAAUAAAUAAAUGAAUAAAAUUUGACUUGGCAAACGCACUUUUUAAACUCAAGACACCAUGAAUGCUUUCCAGAAUGAUCUUAUUUAAUCCUUUAAAACAGUGAACGUAAGUGAUGGAGUUAGCUUUACUUUUAUAUCUAAUUUUUAUAUUUAUUCCAGUAUUUUUUUAGUUACCAAUAAUACUAGCCGUGGGAUUGUUUAGAAUUAAAAAAUUCUGACGUUUUAGAGAAGUUUGAACACCAUAUUCAAACAAAAACAGAAGUAAGCUGCAUGGAAUUAAUUCUUUGUAGUUUAUGAUGUCAACAAAACUCAGUUUUUCAUUGUUCUUUUCAACUCGGAGUUAGUUUGUAUCUUGCUCUAGUCAGUUCAGUCAUUGUUAUGUACAGUCUUUCUCUGUGCCAAGGUAUCUCCCAUAAAUCUUGGGUGGAGUCACAUGCACACUGAAAAGUUCUGCUUUAUUGUUAACUGCUUUACUCCUGCGAAUGUGACUGAAAGUGGCUUGUGUUAACAAUACUCCUUUCAUGCAUAAAGAUCACAAACUGACUCAAUCCAUAGAGAGGAAUCAUUUCACCAGUCACUGCAGUACAGCCACCUCUGGGGUGAAAUGUUGCAGCAGUUUAACAGCGCAUAGUUUAGAAAAGAAUCCUGUCCAAAUGAAAGUGCAGGGAGACUUUUUAGUAGAUGUCCUGGCCAAAUUCCAAUUUACAGUCUGACUUAUUUUAUUUAUUUAAUUAACUAGCUUAUGGAAUAAAGCCUCGUUCUCACAUAAUGCUUUUCAUCUGUAGAUUUCAAAGCCCUUUAUGAAGGAGGUAAGGAUCAUUCUCCCCAUUUUACAGAUAGAGAAACUGAUGCACAGGGAGAUGAGGUGACUUGCCCAGUAUCACCCAGCAGGUCAGUGGCUGAGCUGGAAAUAGAGCCCAGGUCUCUUGAGUCCCACUCUAGUGGUCUGUCCUCUGCCUCCCUGUGCCUGAGUAUGGGGCCUCAAAUCUUGCGUCUCAUCAGAAAGACAGCAUCUUAAGUAGCAAAUAGUAUUGAACCAAUGCAUGAGCAUACCAUCUCUAAGGGAAGAAUACCACCUAUGAAAUCAUAAACUUUACUUCCUUCAGCCUUUGGGUUUUCCUUGCCACUUUCCCAUACACAUAAGACCCAACCCUGCACAGCACAGGAUUUCUGACAAGAUCAUAGCUAAGUUGAAACAUAGAAAACCAGCUAAACAAUGUAGAAUGUAAUAAUUUCUAAUUGUCAGAUUGUGAGGUGAUGCUGAAUGAAGUAUAUAGCAGGGCUCUGUUCUGCCUCUAAUAUUAGAAUACUUUUAAAUUCAUAGCUUGGAUAAUGGACUAGAGCAUAUGCUAAUCAAACUCAAUUAAACAAAAUUUGGAAAGGAUCACAAACAAACUUUGAGACGUUCCUCAGCCAUUUUAGAAGUUUUUAUUAGAAAAAAAUAGACCUUAAAAUGCUAGAAAAGUUAUUUUCCCCUUCCUCCCUCCCCCCUCCCCUGCCCAAUUAGUAAUAAAUGGCUGGAGCGGGGAGGAAAAAAAACUUCUUGGAACAGAACAAAGUUUUCAGCUCCAAAGCAGAAUUGUUCAGAAAGUUGUGAGCAUGGGAAAAUACCAUUAUAAUGAAAGCCUCAAUAUUAAACUCACCUACCAGUGAAAAUUAUAGUGAAGGUAAUGCACUACAAAUCUUUAUCAUUACAAAAGCAAUCAUUUUGGUUAUUUGAUACUAGAUAUUCCAUCAAUGCAGCUAUUUAAAAAUUAACGAUGUGCUUGAGUACAGUGUGAACUGUUUGCUGUAUUUUUUUUAAUUUUCUGUAACAGUACUAUAUUUUAACUGUAUAUUAUUCUGUAUUUUUUACUUGUACCACAAACCGCUAGGGACAGAUUGUAACAGAAGUCCUUAAAUACCAGAAGCCUCUCUGCAGCAACUAAUUGUGAUCACACAAACAGGCAAUUAAAACAUCAAUACAAAUAUUCAGGAGAAGUAGGUGAAUUCUUUAAAGGUCAUGUUUUCAUGUAAAUGAUGCUAGCAAUAGACUACACAUUUUAAAAGAAGAAAAAACAUGCAACUGAUAUUUAGUCCCUUGAGUGGUUGCUUGGAGUAGUUUUACUUCCCCCUCCUCUUCCCCCUAAUGCACACAAGAUUAUUGUAGGGAGGUUUUGGUACUGCCACUCUUACUUCUGUGCUGCUGCUGGCGGGGCGCUGCGUUCAAAGCUGGAUGCCUGGCCGCCAGCCACCGCUAUCCUGCUUCCUCUGAAGGCGUACAGAGGAAAGUGUUUCAACCUUGCAACCCCCCCUCACCUCCCGUUUGGGUCAGGACCCCCAGUUUAAGAAAUGCUGGUCUCCACUGUGAAAUCUGUAUAGGGUAAAAGUACAUAAAAACACAGAUUUUUACCAGGGGAGACCAGAUUUCACAGUCCAUGACCUAUUUUUCAUGACGGUGAAUUUGGUAGGGCCCUAAAUAUAACGCAUGCCUUUUUGGUGGUUGUUUUUUCCAUAGCUCAGUAAAACUUCCUCCUUCCCCUAAAUCAACAAAGAUAACAUUUUAAAGAUGAAUGAAAUGUUUUUGAAAUAAAACAACACAAACCUUUUUCAACUUCUGAGGGUGGAAUGUUGUGAAAUAGAGCAAUGGGCUGUAUGCUGCCUUCUAUGAUGGUGCUGCACUAUCUGCUCCUCUGCUUCAUUGGGAGCAAUGGUCAUAUUCGUAGUGCUGCUUUCAUAUUGCACAGGACUCUACACCCCUUCGUAGCCUCCCUAAGUCUUGCUUCCACCUGUUGCAAAUAGGGUUGCCAACUCUGACUGAAGCUGUUCCAGAUUUUUGCCCCCCCAUAUAUGUCAUUUUCUUAAAAUAUCCUAUUAAAACCUCUCGGAUUGCUUUCAAUAGUCACCGGUAAAUCAAUGCCAAUUGCAGGAGCCUCCAGGCCAAUCCUGGAGGGUUGGCAACCGUAGUUGCCAACCAAACUAGUUCUGGUGCAAGAGAGACCUGCACAUUCUCAGAGGAGGGGGCAGGAUUUGCCCCUAGCAAAAUAUUUGGGUUGCUUUUAAAAUUACAUACAAGUACAUCUUAAAACAGGGUAUUUGAAAACCAUGUCCUCUUUACUGUACCAGCAAGGACAUAUACUCAGGGUUUAGUGUUUUUACUAAAAAAGGAAUAACUCUCAACACCUAAAUAUCAUCAGGAAUAGCAGCUUCUUGAUCUGCUUUAGGUGUGUGAGGAGUGGAUGUAUUAAAAAGACACUGAACACAGGUCUUAGAGGGUUUUUAUUUUAAAAAAAAAAAAAAAAAAGCCUUUCACUUACUAUUAAAGUUCAUUUCUUGUAAUUUAGGGCACAUGUAUAGUCUAAUGAUUUAAGAUCUUAAUAAAUAAAAGUAUUUUAAAGCAUGCAUGGUUCCUGAUAGUUUAUAAGGCUGCAUUUCACAAAACAAACAUAAUAACCUCCUUAUUGUGAGACUAUUCAUUUUUAAAAAAAGGCUUGUUUUUAGAGUGUGGUUUUGGACUUCCAGCCGUCUUACACAAGCUCAGUAGGACUCCACCCUACAUCCUGUACAGAGAAGCAAUUCAUAGGACUGUCCAUUGUUCUUUUUGGUCUCUGCAUGCACUCUGAUCUUAAGUAUGGGAAAGUGUGGAAUAUGAAAAAUAUUAAUGCAAAAGAACUUUAGCAGCUCAAGUAAUGCUCAGUCCUGCAAGGUGCUGAACCUAUGGAGGUUCAUGGAAGUUGAAGGAAACUCAGCGCAACACAGAAGUGGAUCUUUUGAAAAGAAUACAGCAUAACUGUGCUUCCAGUAAAAGUACCUUAUAAUGUUUGACGCUAUUGGUAAUUCAGCAGCGGUGUUAACUGUAUAUACACUGGCAGCGUGACAAUUAUAUGUAUGCACCUGUGUCAAUAGGAAAAACUGAGUUCUUUUUUUAUUCACAAAAUUCCAAAAUAAAAUAAUUCAUACUGCUCCUAGACACACAGUUUCUGUUGUUUUCCCAAUUACUGCACUGUUGCUGCUCAGUUAUUAUAGUGUAAAGCAGGUCAGGGAUCUAGAGAAUAUCAGGCACUGUAAAAACUAAACUGGAGCUCAAUGGAUCUGAAUCUGCCACUCUUACUUAUGCCAAGUGGUACCUUACUCAGUAAGCAGUCCCACUGAAAUUAAUGUGCCUACUCACAGAAUAAGUUGUUCUUCAGCCCAAUACAAGCAGUAAUAUCUGUGACAUUUAUUCGAUUUUUUUUUUUGCUGUUUUUGUUAAUUUUUCCUUUUCUCCCCCCUCUUUCCCCCCCCCCCCCCCCCCAUUUUGUCUUUUUGGACAAUACAUUUUAGGAGUGAGGUGUUGCUUUUAAUUUUGUCCAUUAAAACCAAAAAAGAAAAAUCAGCAAUUUUAGUGUGGGAAAGAAGUAUCAAUAGCAUCGUUUUACAAGAAAAAAAAAAGUCACUACUUGUAUAGUGCAGUUUGUUACCUGCUUGUCUUAUUUGUCUGUGUCUUUGUUGGUCAAACUGUGGUUUAGGCAGUUUUAACAUAUUGAGAGGUCAAGAUUACCAAAAGAAUGUUUACGCUGUGUUCUCUUCCAGCAAUCAUCUGAAAGGACUCACCCUUUAUUGCCAAUCUCCUGAAUGUUCAGCAAUCCCAGAAUUUAUGGCACAUAACAUAGGAUUAAAUAGCAGCGAUGUUCUCUCUAAUUUUUUCCACCCAUGUGUGGAAUAAAUUAUGUGCACCAAGGUAAGGUGAGGAUGUGCACCAUCACUGGAGGCAAAAAACCUAGAUAGAAUUUUUUUUUUUUAAAGUUACCAAUAGGGAUAAUUAACUCCAGCCAAGACAAGUUAGGCAUUUUAGAACUCAUUACUCAAAGAAUUAAAUUUAAGUGUAAGAGAAAAAUAAAAAUUAUGAAAUGCAUAGACCAGUCAAAAAACUAAAAUUACACACUUUGAAAGAAUAAAAUUACAGAGAAUAUGUGCGUUGCAGGAAGUAACAGUGUUGGGAGGUGUGUGACGCACUGUGCGUGUGCUGGUUGCUGGGGAAGUUUCUGAGAGACGCCCAUCUGCUGUCUCUUUAAGGCACUCACUGAAAGCUCCCCUCCUACUGAACAAUGUCCCCACCCCCGUCCCCCCGCGAUAUGCGGUACAUGGGGAGGGGGUAAGACUGUGUGUGUGACAGACAGAGAUUGUGUGUGCUGGCUGCUGGGGAAGUCUCUGUCUCUUUAAGGCACUCACUCACCAGAAGGCUUGUUCAGACCUCAGAGCUGCUCCGAGUCCAGAGCCCUGUCCCCUGCUCUGUGGAGAUGGAGUACAGGGGAGGGGUCACCCUGAUAUCAGCACUUUCUUUCCUCCCCUGCUCUGCACAGCCCCCAGGAGGGUCCUGGGAGCAGCUGCGGGAGCAACAAAGCUGCAAAGCAGUGGGGUGGAGGGGCACCUGAACAUGCUCUGCCGGCUGGGUGUGCGUGGCUCUGCUAAUCAACUGCAGGGCACUUGACUCUCUCCUGGGCGGCCGACCAACUGCUCAUCUUACAGGGAACACAUGAUUGCAGGCCUUCGAAUGAACAAGAUAAGAUCUACAUUUUAAAUCAUUUAGAACUCCUGUAUGUUUCCGACUGAAUGCUUCACUCACAUCCCUUUCCUUUUUCCCCUUCACCUCUUCGCAUACAAAAUUAUCUUAAAACAAUGUUUUAGACAGAUCUUUGUGAAAACCAGGGACUUCAGAGGUUCCUGCGAAUAGUUUUGUAGUUUUUGGUUCGAGUCCAUCAGUUUGCACAAAAUGCUGUUCCCCAAACUUCUGCUUUCAGUUUUGCAAUUAAACAAACCCACUCAAACAAACCAACAAAAAUCUAAAAAUCUAAACUGAGUUUUAGCUGGUUUUAUUUUUAAAAAAAGUUGCAAUUUGCAAGCUCCCUGCAAUUUCAAUGGAAAACUAUACAUUGGCCUAGGUUUACUGGAAACUGACCCAGGUUUGCUUGGCAGGUAUGUGAGUGAGCUUUAGCAAGCCUUUCUAUUAAUGUGGUCUACAUUUUUAGUUUUGUAACUAAACUUCCUGGGUCCAAGUCUGGUGUCUACACUUCAAAAAGGAUGUUGAAAAAAUUGAAAGGAUUCAGCAAAGAGCUACAAAAAUGAUUCAAGAUCUGGAAAACCUGCCUCACAGGGAGAGGUUCAGUAAGUUCAAUCUAUUUAGUUUACCUAAGGGAAGGUUAAGAGAUGAUCUGAUCAUGAUAUACAAGUACUUAGAUAGCUAAGUUAUGACAGUGAGGCUCAGGCUCUUUAAUGUAGCAGGGAAAGGUACAAGAUCCAAUGGUUCAAAGCUUAAAGCUAGACAGAUUGAAACAAAAUAAGGCAUUUUAUUUUUUAACAGUGAAGGUAAUUAAUGAUUGGAACAACUUAUAUAAGGACUUGGUGGAUUCUCCAUUACUUAGUGUUUAAAUGAAGAUUGACCGUCUAUAAGAGUUGCUGUAGCUCAAAUAGAAGUUACGGGUUUGAUACAGAAGUUUGUGUGUGGAUGCCCUAUGUUAUGCAGAUGGCCAGAUUAUGUGACCAUAAUAGUCCUUUCUGCCCUUAAAAUUUAUUAAAUAAAAUGAGUUUCCACACAUCAGCUGGCCCAAGUUGCUGUUUCUUUUAAGCAUCUCUGAAUAUAGAGCAUUAAUGUUUAUAAUAACCCUUCACAAAUUUUACUGCAAGAAGUUCUUUCCUAUGUCAGUGUUUUGAAAAUGAAUACACACACACACACCCAAAAGCUACAAUGUACCUGACUUCUUCACAGGUAGUGAGGAAGGGGGUACAAGGUAACCUCCCAUCUUGGUAACCAAUGACCUGGCCUCAGUUACUCAAGCCUUUGUCACCGCUCAGCUGGACUAAAGCAAUUCAUUAUGCAGCUGGGCAAGACUGAAAUGAACUCUCCCAAGACUGAAAUGAACUAGGGACUGUUGGAAACCCACUACCUUCCACUCUAAGUGUAAGGUGUAUUUCUUUUACUUUAACUACUAAAACAUAUAGCAACAUAUGUAUGUAUAUAAUAUAUAUUAUUAAAAAUUCAAAACCAAAACAUUCCUUUGCACACUCAUCUCUUCUUAGGAAGAGAAUGAGUCCCCUUUGUGGAUGGCCACCAGUGUGCUGGAGUUCAGGUACUACUCAGGUCACAAGCAUGAUAUAAGAAACUGCAUUGAAUAGGAUGCAGACUAGUGCCAGUAAGGCACAAUACAGCCUUAUAUAUUAUUUUAUUUAUUUCUCUUUACAGGUGCAUCAGAACAAGUGUUAUAACAAAUUUUAAUUAGUCAUUGUUUUUACCAUGCUUUGAAGAUAUAUAUCACUAAGUGCCAAGUAUUAAUUAUUAAGUUUACCUAGGAGUACAAGCCAAGAUCAUGGGUUUUGUUUCUGGACCGGUGUCAGUGAGCAUACAAGAACAGCUCUAGGAACAGGGUGCCGAAUCCAGCUCCCAUUGAACUCAAAGGGAGUUUGGACUUGAUUAGUUAAAUGUGCACCUUCUGCAGCAGCUGAAGCACAGCACUGUUUACUUUACAUUCUAAGAUGAUGCAUUAUAAAAAAAAAAUCCUACAGUAAAGAAACUUUUCUUUCAGAAAA